UUCUAGCCCUGAUAGAAGUAAAAAUCCUCUUGUGCCGGUGUUCGGCACAAGAGAUUGAAACGAAUAGCAGGAUUAGCU
rnacentral:sRNA from 1 species